AAGCAUAUCAAUAAGCGGAGGAAAAGAAACCAACAGGGAUUGCCCUAGUAACGGCGAGUGAAGCGGCAACAGCUCAAAUUUGAAAUCUGGCUCCUUCGGGGUCCGAGUUGUAAUUUGCAGAGGGUGCUUUGGCGUUGGCGGCGGUCUAAGUUCCUUGGAACAGGACAUCACAGAGGGUGAGAAUCCCGUACGUGGUCGCCUGCCUUCGCCGUGUAAAGCCCCUUCGACGAGUCGAGUUGUUUGGGAAUGCAGCUCUAAAUGGGAGGUAAAUUUCUUCUAAAGCUAAAUACCGGCCAGAGACCGAUAGCGCACAAGUAGAGUGAUCGAAAGAUGAAAAGCACUUUGGAAAGAGAGUCAAACAGCACGUGAAAUUGUUAUAAGGGAAGCGCUUGCAGCCAGACUUGCCUGUAGUUGCUCACCUGGGCUUUUGCCCGGGGCACUCUUCUGCAGGCAGGCCAGCAUCAGUUUGGGCGGUCGGAUAAAGGCCUCUGACACGUACUUCCUUUCGGGGUUGACAUAUAGGGGAGGCGUAAUGCGACCAGCCUGGACUGAGGUCCGCGCAUCUGCUAGGAUGCUGGCGUAAUGGCUGUAAGCGGCCCGUCUUGAAACACGGACCAAGGAGUCUAACAUCUAUGCGAGUGUUUGGGUGUCAAGCCCGAGCGCGUAAUGAAAGUGAACGGAGGUGGGAACCCCUCGGGGCGCACCAUCGACCGAUCCUGAUGUCUUCGGAUGGAUUUGAGUAAGAGCAUAGCUGUUGGGACCCGAAAGAUGGUGAACUAUGCUUGAAUAGGGUGAAGCCAGAGGAAACUCUGGUGGAGGCUCGCAGCGGUUCUGACGUGCAAAUCGAUCGUCAAA
rnacentral:rRNA from 1 species